UACGUAGGGCGCAAGCGUUGUCCGGAAUUAUUGGGCGUAAAGAGUUCGUAGGCGGUUUGUCGCGUCCGUUGUGAAAGCCCAGGGCUCAACCCUGGGUCUGCAGUGGAUACGGGCAGACUAGAGUCAGGUAGGGGAGAACGGAAUUCCUGGUGUAGCGGUGAAAUGCGCAGAUAUCAGGAGGAACACCGAUGGCGAAGGCAGGUCUCUGGGCCACUACUGACGCUGAGAAGCGAAAGCGUGGGGAGCGAACAGG
rnacentral:rRNA from 1 species